GGUGGCGAGUGGCGAACGGGUGAGUAAUGUAUCGGAACGUACCUUUCAGUGGGGGAUAACGUAGCGAAAGUUACGCUAAUACCGCAUAUUCUGUGCGCAGGAAAGCAGGGGAUCGCAAAACCUUGCGCUGAUUGAGCGGCCGAUAUCAGAUUAGCUAGUUGGUGAGGUAAAGGCUCACCAAGGCGACGAUCUGUAGCGGGUCUGAGAGGAUGAUCCGCCACACUGGAACUGAGACACGGUCCAGACUCCUACGGGAGGCAGCAGUGGGGAAUUCUGGACAAUGGGGGCAACCCUGAUCCAGCCAUGCCGCGUGAGUGAAGAAGGCCUUCGGGUUGUAAAGCUCUUUCGGCCGGGAAGAAAUCGCAUAGGUUAAUACCCUGUGCGGAUGACGGUACCGGCAUAAGAAGCACCGGCUAACUACGUGCCAGCAGCCGCGGUAAUACGUAGGGUGCGAGCGUUAAUCGGAAUUACUGGGCGUAAAGCGUGCGCAGGCGGUUUUGUAAGACAGGCGUGAAAUCCCCGGGCUCAACCUGGGAACUGCGCUUGUGACUGCAAGGCUAGAGUAUGGCAGAGGGGGGUGGAAUUCCACGUGUAGCAGUGAAAUGCGUAGAGAUGUGGAGGAACACCAAUGGCGAAGGCAGCCCCCUGGGCCAAUACUGACGCUCAUGCACGAAAGCGUGGGUAGCAAACAGGAUUAGAUACCCUGGUAGUCCACGCCCUAAACGAUGUCAACUAGGUGUUGGGUGGGUAAAACCAUUUAGUACCGGAGCUAACGCGUGAAGUUGACCGCCUGGGGAGUACGGCCGCAAGGUUAAAACUCAAAGGAAUUGACGGGGACCCGCACAAGCGGUGGAUGAUGUGGAUUAAUUCGAUGCAACGCGAAAAACCUUACCUACCCUUGACAUGUCCAGGAGCCUGAAGAGAUUUGGGUGUGCCCGAAAGGGAACUGGAACACAGGUGCUGCAUGGCUGUCGUCAGCUCGUGUCGUGAGAUGUUGGGUUAAGUCCCGCAACGAGCGCAACCCUUGUCGUUAAUUGCCAUCAUUCAGUUGGGCACUUUAACGAGACUGCCGGUGACAAACCGGAGGAAGGUGGGGAUGACGUCAAGUCCUCAUGGCCCUUAUGGGUAGGGCUUCACACGUCAUACAAUGGUCGGUACAAAGGGUCGCCAACCCGCGAGGGGGAGCCAAUCCCAGAAAGCCGAUCGUAGUCCGGAUCGUAGGCUGCAACUCGCCUGCGUGAAGUCGGAAUCGCUAGUAAUCGUGGAUCAGCAUGUCACGGUGAAUACGUUCCCGGGUCUUGUACACACCGCCCGUCACACCAUGGGAGCGGGUUCCGCCAGAAGUAGGUAGCCUAACCGCAAGGGGGGCGCUUACCACGGCGGGGUUCGUGACUGGGGUGAAGUCGUAACAAGGUA
rnacentral:rRNA from 1 species